GACGAACGCUGGCGGCGUGCUUAACACAUGCAAGUCGAACGGAAAGGCCCUGCUUUUGUGGGGUGCUCGAGUGGCGAACGGGUGAGUAACACGUGAGUAACCUGCCCUUGACUUUGGGAUAACUUCAGGAAACUGGGGCUAAUACCGGAUAGGAGCUCCUGCUGCAUGGUGGGGGUUGGAAAGUUUCGGCGGUUGGGGAUGGACUCGCGGCUUAUCAGCUUGUUGGUGGGGUAGUGGCUUACCAAGGCUUUGACGGGUAGCCGGCCUGAGAGGGUGACCGGCCACAAUGGGACUGAGAUACGGCGCAGACGCCUACGGGAGGCAGCAGGGGGGAAUAUUGCACAAUGGGCGGAAGCCUGAUGCAGCAACGCCGCGUGCGGGAUGACGGCCUUCGGGUUGUAAACCGCUGUCGCCUGUGACGAAGCGUGAGUGACGGUAAUGGGUAAAGAAGCACCGGCUAACUACGUG
rnacentral:rRNA from 1 species